GGAAAGACCCCGUGCACCUUUACUGCAGCUUCAGAGUGGCAUUAGGAAAGAACUGUGUAGCAUAGGUGGGAGGCUUUGAAGCAUCGGCGCCAGCCGGUGUGGAGCCAUAGGUGAAAUACCACCCUGUUGUUUUCUGAUGUCUAACCUGCGCCCAUGAAACUGGGCGAGGGACCCUCUGUGGCGGGUAGUUUGACUGGGGCGGU
rnacentral:rRNA from 1 species